AUUGAGCGCUGGCGGCAUGCUUUACACAUGCAAGUCGAACGGCAACGAGGCGAUGCUUGCUUCUCUGUCGGCGAGUGGCGAACGGGUGAGUAUAGCAUCGGAACGUGCCAAGUAGUGGGGGAUAACCAAACGAAAGUUUGGCUAAUACCGCGUAUGCUCCAAGGAUGAAGGUAGGGGACCUAAAUAAGGCCUUACGCUAUUUGAUCGGCCUAUGUCGGAUUAGCUAGUUGGUGGGGUAAUGGCUCUCCAAGGCAAUGAUCCGUAGCGGGUCUGAGAGGAAGAACCGCGACACUGGGACUGAGACACGGCACAGACACCUAGGGGAGGCAGAAGCGGGGAAGUUUGGCAAAUGGGGGGAACACUGCACAAGCCACGCCGCGUGUAUGAAGCAGGCCUUAGGGUUGUAUAGUACUUUUGUUAGGGAAGACAGGCUAGAGUAUAAUAAAAACUAGUGAUGACGGUACCUAAAGAAUAAGCACCGGCUAACUACGUG
rnacentral:rRNA from 1 species